rnacentral:rRNA from 1 species
CAGCAGUAGGGAAUCUUCGGCAAUGGACGGAAGUCUGACCGAGCAACGCCGCGUGAGUGAAGAAGGUUUUCGGAUCGUAAAGCUCUGUUGUAAGAGAAGAACGAGUGUGAGAGUGGAAAGUUCACACUGUGACGGUAUCUUACCAGAAAGGGACGGCUAACUACGUG